GGCCCCGCCUGUGAGGGCCCCGCCAACGGGCGGGAAGCGUUAGUGCGACCUCGGGCUGGAAGGGUCGCUCUCGUCCGUGCUCGGGCUCCACGGAGCAAGAGAGGCUUGGAAGCGCCCAGCCUCCUCCGUUACUCCCUCAGCACCAGCAUCUGAAUCUCAGUGGACUUCUGAGCAUCUUUCAGUGGGUCAGCGCUGAAAACGUAAUGGAGAAUAGACCGUGUGGUUGUCUGAUACAAAGGCCUCAGCAACAGACCCAUAAAAGAGACUCUUGAUGGAACCACAGUCCCGGGCUGAGCUCCAAAGCAUUGCUUAUAAUCAAAAACUUAUCUGGAGAAAGAAACUCCAAUUAAAAACUGAUUUUCUCCAUCAAACCAUUAGCAGCAGAAUACAUCCCAUCAUCGUUUAAAGAAACACAAGAAAUGAAGAUGGCUUCUUAGCUUAGGACAGCAGGACCUUCCAAUUUUUCAAAUUCAUCUCAAACAUCCCUGGGAGCAGCAUACAUUGCUUGUGGUCAGCAGCACAGAUACCACCUCCUUGGAGACGGCAUGGGUCAGUGAGCCUUUCCUGCUUUGGUGCCCUUCCUCAGCAUGGCUAACAUAGAUGAGGAAUGCUUCAAAAAAUGAGAGGAUAACAGCAAACAGCCUGACGGAAAAUAAGCAGAAAAGACGCGAGGAGGGAUAGCUCUGAGACAAGAAAGGAGAAUGGAGAAGGCAAAUCCAAAGAAAAAGCUCUGGAUGAAGUAGGUGCUGCCCUGAACAUAGGAGGGAGGAGCUUAAAACCAAAUGCAGAAGCAAGCAGGAUUUUAAUGUCAGGAUUCAAGGAUGAGGAAGAAUAUGGAAGCAGCAGCAGCGCUCAAAAUGAGCAGAAGGGGGAGGAAUGAGGAAGGCAGGAGAAAAAAUAGCAGAGCUCGAUGGAAGACAGGUUGUCAAGACUUGCUUUCACACAGAAACAUGGACAGAAAGCCAUGCUACUCGUGAGGUUCUGCUCCCUUAUUUUUAAAAUUACACACUGCCUCCUAAGCUCUGCAGACAUUUAUGUAAUAUGUAGAGGAGUCAAAAGCCCAGUAAGAAAUCUUCUGCUCUGCUAGACAUGCAGACAGGUAAAAUAUCUGUGCUACACAGUCAACAGGGUAGAAAUCUGCAUUUCCAGACCAUUUUAUUAACAUUUUUGUCUUUAGUUACCACGAGUUAGCUGGAACUCAGUAAAUCUUCAAGAAUGGAACCACUUGCAAACUGGGGUAAGAUCUUAGAUCCAUGACCGUCUUCUUGUGUUUUUAGCAGCUCUGACAAAAUGAAGCUAACUUGUUCUUUAGUUUUGCAAUUACAUGAAUUCAACUUAUAAGCGAUCUCAGAAUGAAAUGUAUUUAAUAAAAACACAUGCCUACUAGCAAGUCUGGGAGGAUCACACUGACAGAAGUACAGCUCUGUAAAACAUUAAAAAAUAUGAAUUUUCAGGAAAGUAUAUUGCCAAGGCAACAAGCCAGUCCAAGUGGGGAAUUCUGGGGCAACUAUGCUAUUGGCACAACAGAGCAUCACCAAACAGGGUCUGAACUUUGUCUUUCAUCCUGUCCAGCUCCUACUGACUACCAACAGGGACUUUAUAGCAGCCUACUGGUACUUAAAGAGGGGCAGGAAAGCUGGGGAAGGAUUCUUUAUGAGGGAGUGUAGUGAUAGGACGAAGGCUUUCGGCUAAAAGAUGGUAGACUGAGAUGAGACAUUAGGAAUAAAUUCUUUCCUCAGGGUGGUGAGGCUCUGGAACACACUGGCCAGAGAAAGUGUGGAUGCCCCAUCCCUGGUGGUCAGUUCCAGGUUGGAUGGGGCUUUGAGCAAUCUGAUACAGAGGCAAGUGUCCCUACUCAUGGCAGCAGGGCUGGAAGUAGGUCAUCUUUAAGGUCUCUUUCAACCCAAAUCAUUCUAUGAUUCUAUGAUAACUCAAAAUUUGAUUUUUGAAUGGACUGCAUCCUUGCAGUUCACUUCUAAUAAUUUCUACUACCUUCAUCUGUUGACAGAAAAGGCAAGCACUGCUUGCAGGAACAUGUCAGUCCUUGAGGAAUACCUAUAGACAUCAGUUAGAGAGCACACGAGUGUCACAGGUACUUACUGUUGUAGAGUGCAAACUUCCCACAAUGGUCUUUCCCCAGAAGAGAGACAAAGGAAAGCCAUUCAUUUGCUAUGAAAGUUAGAAGCUCAGCUCAUGAUCUGACACAAGAGAAAUCUUGACAUAGCCAAGUGCUGCCUCCUUGGCUUGACCUAGUGAACGCACUGUGCUUGAUUUUGACAGGGUCCCUCAACAAGGGCCCUUACAGAAAAUAAGCUGUCAUGAGAUGACAGGAAAGGCUCUCUUAGGGAUUAAUAACCAGCUAAAAGGGAGCAAGAAAAAAGCAGAAAUGGUGAGUAAAUCUAUUCAAAUAGCACUUCAGCUCUUUACAAAUGACAAAGGGGCUUCACAAGUUAUUACAAAAGGACCAGGGAAUGAAACAAGGAAUACAAGUGCCAGAUCCAUACCCUGCGUGGGCAUGUCUCUUCUCCCUUCAGUCUCAAAAAGGCAAACUGGAGGAGAUGCAGAAAAUGCAGCAGGAAAAGGACAGCUCCCAUAUAAGCAACAGUUAAACAGACAACAAAUUUUCAGCAUGGGCAAAGAAACAAACAGGGCUCAGACAGUAAUGGGACAAAGUCCUGGAAUAGAAAGCCAUCAAAGCAGAGCUGCAGACAAAAAGCUCUGAGGCAAGCAGCCUCUCAGCUGGGAGAAGGAAUACAUGAGAAGAAAUAUUAGUACUGUUUGCUCUUCCUCAUAUGGUCCUCCUGUUGGCACCUGCCGUUGGCCACUGCCAGAGCUUGGGUACACUCCUCCAUUGGCCUUUGCUCCUGUUCAGAGUGCUUGAGCACAAGUCCUGAUCAGUGGGAAACAUCCAAGUGAAAAGAAAGUCACAAUGCUGCCCUCUGAUCCAGAGGGAAGACAUCAUCACAUGAAGGCAUCCUUCUCAGAGCCAGAUCCCUGUAAUGAAGAGAGCAGUAGCAAGAGUGAGGACAAGAAGGCUCUUCAGAAAGCAUUAUUCUGAAUUCCCAGGACACUGGAUGGAUGGGGAGAGCGGAGACAUGUUUUUAAGUGUUUUUGAGAUGAGCCGUGAGUUAAAUUGGGUGGCUGACAACAGCUAGGAGCAAUAACUGUUCUCCUUGCUGUGUGGGACAGUGUUUGCACAGAUGCCUAAGGAGGGCUAUGAAAGCUAUGAUUGCUGUAAAGCCCUGUUGCAAAUGUUGAAACUGACACCAGUAACUCACAUCUAAAACUGUGAGGGCUCAGCAAGAAGGGGACUUGAGAUGGCCCAAGCUUAACUGCUGCUUCUAUAGUCAGUCCCUCUUAGCAUGCUGUCACAGGGGAUCCCUGCGGGGACAUUACCACAUAGAACAGUGCAGGCCUGGGAAAGAGGCAGUUCAGCCCAAUCCUAAAGGAAAAAAUUUUCCCAUAGGAAAAGCAUGCAAACCACCCUUCACCCACUGAGAGGGCAGGGUGCAGCAUGUCCAUGCAGAUGAAGCAACACUGUAAGCAGAUGAGCAAUUGAGGAAGGCAUAAAAUGCUCCACCCUGAGUCUACUUCCUGAGUCCUUUGGUCAAAAGUCGUGUAUGUCAUGGAGUAAAAAAAAACAGGGAAAGAGGUGGGCAAAAGAGUAAAGAGACACUGCCUCUCUGUAAGGGUAUUUUUCUGACAGGAUAUGAUCAGGCAGUGGAUGGCAAAAAGAUGCAAAUAAACAAUUUCUAAGGCCAAUUCCAAGAUUUUGUCAGCUGAGUCAAUACAAACAGGAGGUAAGACUCUCAGAGGAUGAUCCUUCUUCUUUAUUACUUGAAAAUUAUGUUAAUGCCACAGGCUUUGAAGACAGAUAUUCUUAAGCCAAAUGACUGAGAGAUGAACUGACUGGCUCUUCUGUCAGAAAAAGGAGUAAUUCAGCAGUGAUAGCAGCUCUGGAUAAAGCUCCUGUGUAUCAGAACCACAUCAGGAGACGGGAAUCUUCUAACCGAGCACUGAGGAGGUCUGCCCCAGCUCAUGUCGCCUCCUUGCACAAGGCACAGGAACAUGCCCAGGGAUCCUCAGGGUUAGCUCCCUUUAGUUUGGUAAGAGAGCUAUGCCAGGUGGAGAAGUUGUGCGUGUAGUUUAUAAACUUCAAAAUAACAUCAAGGCUUGUUAGAAUUUCUGGGGUAUUUAGUGGUAUACCGACUCACAUAGUCCUUUACCCUCUUUGUGCCUGGAAAACUCAAAGCAAAAGGAACUUCAUAAAGGCUGCGGGAAUCCAAAGAAAGCCAUUCUUCAUACACCUCUUUCCGCCACAUGAUAUGAUGAGAGAAGAAAUUCAUCUAAUUACAAAAAUAGCCUAAACCUGUCACUUGCUGUUGGUAGCCAUUGUUGUAGUUAAAAUAGACUAUGAACUCUGUAGGACAGCGACUGUCUUGUUUGUUUUUAGAGUGGCCAGCAUGCCAGGGCACUGAUCUCUGUGGGACUCUCAGUGCUUAAGCCUGAAUUAGCCUAGCUACUACACAGUUAUUUAGCUGAGAAAAGACAAGAUGUUACCACUGAGAAGAAGCUAUAGACCUAGCAGCCAAACUUGUAAAAAGCAUUGUGGACAUCAGCAUAACAAUCUUUGAAAAUACAAUGCAGAUUAACAUCUGCCUGCAGAAAUAAGUUUUCUGACCAGCUAUGAAACUUUGCUCCAAGCACUCAAAUUAUAAAAUUGCUGGUUUGUGCAAUCUCACCCUCUUACC